rnacentral:ncRNA from 1 species
UCGUAAGUCGGCGCAUGGCACUCGGCCUGCAUCGACGAGCUUCGUGCGUCCCCUAUGGAUAUGGCGAAGUUUCACCAGAAAAAGGAA